rnacentral:rRNA from 1 species
CCUACGGGGGGCAGCAGUGGGGAAUAUUGCACAAUGGGCGCAAGCCUGAUGCAGCCAUGCCGCGUGUGUGAAGAAGGCCUUCGGGUUGUAAAGCACUUUCAGCGGGGAGGAAGGCGUUAAGGUUAAUAACCUCAUCGAUUGACGUUACCCGCAGAAGAAGCACCGGCUAACUCCGUGCCAGCAGCCGCGGUAAUACGGAGGGUGCAAGCGUUAAUCGGAAUUACUGGGCGUAAAGCGCACGCAGGCGGUCUGUCAAGUCGGAUGUGAAAUCCCCGGGCUCAACCUGGGAACUGCAUUCGAAACUGGCAGGCUAGAGUCUUGUAGAGGGGGGUAGAAUUCCAGGUGUAGCGGUGAAAUGCGUAGAGAUCUGGAGGAAUACCGGUGGCGAAGGCGGCCCCCUGGACAAAGACUGACGCUCAGGUGCGAAAGCGUGGGGAGCAAACAGGAUUAGAUACCCGAGUAGUC